GUACACCAAUGUGAGGAGC
rnacentral:piRNA from 1 species